GCUGCCGUACAUUUAUUUCACCANCUCAGCGCCAGGGAAUUACGAGCAAUGCUUAAAACCCAAAGGAUUUGACGGUGUCCCACCCACCUAGAGGAGCCUGUUCUAUAAUCGAUGAUCCCCGCUAUACCCAACCACUUUUAGCUCUUCAGUCUGUAUACCUCCGUCGAAAGCCUACCAUGUGAACGUUACCAGUAGGCCCAAUGACCUCAUCAAUACGUCNGGUCANGGUGCAGCUCACGAAGUGGUAAGUAAUGGGCUACAAUUUCUAAUCUAGAACAAACGAANGGCUAUGUGAAACCACAGUCACGAAGGCGGAUUUAGUAGUAAAAAGAAAAUAGAGAGUUCUUUUUAACCUGGCUCUGGGACGCGU
rnacentral:rRNA from 1 species